UGGACGCAUCACUGGUGUUCGGGUUGUCAUGCCAAUGGCACUGCCCGGUAGCUAAAUGCGGAAGAGAUAAGUGCUGAAAGCAUCUAAGCACGAAACUUGCCCCGAGAUGAGUUCUCCCUGAGACUUAAAGUCUCCUGAAGGAACGUUGAAGACGACGACGUUGAUAGGCCGGGUGUGUAAGCGCAGCGAUGCGUUGAGCUAACCGGUACUAAUGAACCGUGAGGCUUAACCUU
rnacentral:rRNA from 9 species